ensembl:lncRNA
GGGGCGGCGGGGCGGGGCGGGGCGGGGGCAGAGCUGAGGGCGGCGGGGAGGGGCGCCUGGGACUGCUCCUCCGGCGGCCGUGGGGCUCAGCGCCGGCCGUGCCUCCCUCCAGCCCGCGGGGACCCCUGGAGGGGCCGGGCCAGCGGGUGGCGGGAAGGAGCCCGGAGGUUUCCGGGGCGGGCCCGCGCCACCGCCCACACCCGGCGGUUCAGGGAAAUUCAAAUGUCAACGUCCAACAGCCACACGCAAACCCAGAGAGGCCCGGAGGGCCGCGGGCGUCGUAAUGUUCUCCCCGCCCUGCCGAGGGGCUCAGAAACGGCCUGGAGGCCUGGCGGCUGUGAGUGAGGAGACUGGCGCUGGUGUCCGAGGUGCAAAAUCCACUGCGUGUCGGUUCCAAGUGCAAGCCUUUCUUUUUCUCUGCGAUGGAAAAGGGUGUAUCAAACCUCCUCCCGGUCAAAUUGAUACGGUCCGCGGGUCUUGAAGACGACAGAUAAAGACCACAGAAAAACCAGAAGCCCUGACUUUGGAUCGUUUGCUGCCAAUGCUGAUGGGCGGUCCCUGAUCCGUUUUUUAACAAUUUAGAGAUUUAGAAAAUCAAAACCACCUCACAAGUGAUAUGAUUAGCAUGUGACUGAGUAAACAGCACAAGCUUUUAAUUGUCAUGCUUCACUAAAAUCCGAUGCAUGAAAAUCUAAACCUGUGAAAAUUUAAGUAGAAAUGACUUUUGCUUUAAAAAGGGAUCCCCUAAAAUCUAAUCGACAACUAGUCCUAACAGAAUACCCAUUAAUCCCGUUGAAAAGGUUUUUAUUUAGGCUAACGUUUAUUGGAAUUUACUAGUGCCGUGCACUGGGCUUUUCGUGGCUUAUCCGUUCACGCAGCCCCUCUGUGGUGUGGGAACUGGAUUAUUUCCAUUUGAAAAUUCAUCCAUUUUAAAGUUGAAUUUCCUUAAGGCCGCCCGGCAGGCGACAGGACUGCGUUUGAACGCAAGCGGUUUCAAUUGACUCCAGAGCCUCGCCCUUAACUAUAACCUAGAAGGCGGGCUCACAACAUAUUAGGAACGCGUAUGUAGAGUAAUUACAGGUUAGUUACCUUAAUAAUGGCAGAAAUGAAGAGCAGGAUGUUCUUUAAAUAGUAAUCAAGUCAUGUACAUAAGAAUGAGUGCGUUAGUGAAGGGCACCGGCUCUAGCAUCCUCUGUGAAUUUCUGGGCACUCUUAUGAGUGAUGAUACCCUCCUUGUUAAUGUUCUGUUUCCUGCCCUGUUAUCUAAAAUAGCUCCUUCCUUAACCUCGCUGAGAAUUAAAGACUUGAAAAGCUUCUAUUUUGAAGUUGGUGUUAGGAAUUUCUAAGUAAGUAUUCAGAUAAUUUUAAUAACUUAAAAGGAUCUUGAAAAUCCAGAUUACUCGUGAAAUGAGGCCUGAAGAAAGUGAGUGCUGGAUCCAAGGGGAUGGAAUCGGGAUUGGAAUGUAAAUCCGCUUUCCUUGAUGCCCUUUCUGCUAGCUGAUGGUUUGGUUUCCGUUCGGUACUCCCCUCACCACAGACUUUUAAAAAGUAUUUGGAAAUUUUCUUUUUAAAUUAUUUUGUGUCCAUUUUUGAAGUUUUAAGACUGUAUGUGAAGUGAUUUUGGGCAUGAUCUCUACUGUUCUCAACCCCAUGAAGCUUUCUCUUGAUAGAGUCCUUCCAUCUUGGAUUCUUUUAGGAGACUCAGAUUAUAUCCUAUUAUCUGAAACAACAAAUACAUUGAGUCGGGUAGUUGAGGAUUGCCAUUGCGAGCUGUGUAACUUUAUGGAAGUUAUUCCUUGGUUUCCUCAUAGGAAAAUGGGGAUGAUGAUGAUUCCUACCUUGCAGGGGGUUUGUAAAGAUUAAAUAAAAUAAUACAUGUAAUGUGUUAGACAUAUAAUACGUGAUGCUAAAUAGUAAUUCUUCCCUAGUAGUAAUCACGGGUCUCCAAUCAAAAGCAAUGAAAACAUGGAAAAUCUCUUGGCCUUAGAAUUAGGCAACUGUGCAAAAUUUUUUUUUUUUUUGAGGAAGAUUAGCCUUGAACUAACUACUGCCUAUUCUCCUCUUUUUGCUGAGGAAGACUGGCCCUGAGCUAACAUCUGUGCCCAUCUUCCUCUACUUUAUAUGUGGGACGCCUACCACAGCAUGGGUGCCAACCCGUGCCAUGUCUGCACCCAGGAUCCGAACCAGCGAACCCCAGGCUGCCAAAGCGGAACGUGCACAUUUAACCACUGCACCACUGGGCUGGCCCCAACUGUGCAAAUCUUCAGUCAGGUUUGUCCAGCCCUCUUCAUUUAAAUAAGUCCUGAAAUCCUGUCACCACCGAUGUUUCCCUCAAUGAUUUAGAAGAGAAGUGACAAAUACUAUUUAAGUUUGGUGACAAUGCUUCUGCGUUUCUGAGGACAAUCGUGAUUUCAAAUAUCCUGUUUUUCUACAGACCUUCCCUUACUUGUCAAGGCACAUGUCCUGAUUACUGGUUAGGCCGUCUAGAUCCCCACCAAGCCUCCACUUGCCAUGCCAUCCUUUCCCCCUUUGAUGCUCCUCCCGCAGCACCCUGCUACCUUGCUCGAUCCGGGACAGAACUUAUUUGACAUUUGCCCUACUUUCUGUAUGUUAUUUCCAUCUGGGACAGAAAAAUAACAAGAUACCUAUCAGAUCUGGGUAGAAGGGGCCCAGACUCCGAUGGGGGUGGGGAGGCAGAGAAGGGGAAGGAGAGACUGAAAGCUAGCAGUAAGCCACUUUUGUCCCAGGAGAGGUGAGUGACAGCUGGCAGCUAGCUGAGUAUACAGUGCAAACAGAUGAAUAGCUACGGCUGCGGUACAAAAUGAGGAAAAAUAUGGCUAAGUACUAUCUCUUCAAUAGAUGUUUGCUGAAUAUAUGAAUGAAAAAAUUAAUCCAUGGUUUUCUACUAGGCUAGGUUGUUUCUAUUCAAUACACUUUAAUACUUUUCCCAGUUAUCAUAAAAGUGUAAGAAUAAAUUAUGUUUCAUAAGUUGCAAAUCCCUUCCAGCUCUGAUUUUGAUUUUUGUGUUUUAAAAAGAGCUUAAGAGUUUUAAAGGCAUAUUUAUCAUCUUCAAUAGGAUUGUUCUCUUAGCAUAGCCACAUGAAGUUUAUAUACUGCUCAAAAUUAUUUUCCAAAUUGCUUGUUAAGAUCUGGAUAUUUGGCGGCAAUAGGAUUGGCAGAGUUAUUUUAACUUAGUGGUUCCGUCUUACUGAUGGCUUAUGAUUUAGUCAAAAAGAGGACCAAUUUGCACUCUUACACUUUAGUUUUAUUUUAUGUCAAAAUAUGGUCAUAACACUACAACACUUUUCUUCAAAUUAUUUUUAAAAGAUAUCUUUAAAGCAUUUCUUAAACUAAGUAUUUCUUAAACUAGUAUUUUUGCAUCUCAUUUUAACAGGUUUUUUUUUUUUUAAUCUUACAGAGGUAUGCCCCUUCAUCCUUUAUUCUGCAUCUUUGCCUUGAGAGAGAUAAAAGUAAAAUAAGACUGGAGUCAAAGUGUAAGGUUUACACAUAAUUCAGCUCUUUCUGCUCUGAUUGGCACUGGCCCUGCUCAAAGAGUUAAGGGCUUUCCCUUUUUGUGACCAGUCUUUGGUUAGCCACUUUAUUUAUCUUGAUGUCUGGCUUAUCCUUACCCAAUAGCAUUUUAAUUUAUUCGUUUACUUCUGAGACUAUAGAGGUGAGACUUUUCUCACCUAAUCUAUCUUCCCUGCAAGUCUCCCUCUCUCAUUUUGCCUGAAAUUUCCACACAAGACCUAGUCUUUGGGGUCAACACAGAAAAGUAAAGGCACUGUUUCCAGACCCCACAGCUGAAUUCAAGAAAGCAGAGGAAAAAGGAAAAUACAAUAUUUGCAUAGUUGAUAUGGUACAAUAAAAG